rnacentral:rRNA from 1 species
GACGAACGCUGGCGGCGUGCUUAACACAUGCAAGUCGAACGGAAAGGCCCUGCUUGCAGGGUACUCGAGUGGCGCACGGGUGUGUGACACGUGGGAGUACCCCCCUGUACUUUUGGGUAUGACUGGGGAAAAGGGGCGAUUAUAGGGGAUGAGACCUUCUGCGUCAGGUGGUUGGUAGGUUUUUUCGGUGUGGGGUGGGCGCGCGGCCUAUCAGCCAGUUGGUGGGGUAAUGGCCUACCAAGGCGGCGACGGGUGGCUGGCCUGCGAGGGUGGACGGCCACAUUGGGACUGAGAUACGGCCCAGACUCCUACGGGGGGCAGCAGUGGGGAAAAUUGCACAAUGGGGGCAAGCCUGAUGCAGCGACGCCGCGUGGGGGAUGACGGCCUUCGGGGUGUAAACUCCUUUCGCGAGGGACGAAGCUGUUUGUGACGGUACCUGGAUAAGAAGCACCGGCUAACUACGUG